rnacentral:rRNA from 1 species
CAAUUAUACAGCGAAACUGCGAAUGGCUCAUUAUAUAAGUUAUCGUUUAUUUGAUAGUACCUUACUACUUGGAUAACCGUGGUAAUUCUAGAGCUAAUACAUGCUAAAAAUCCCGACUUUGGAAGGGAUGUAUUUAUUAGAUUAAAAACCAAUGCCCUUCGGGGCUCUCUGGUGAUUCAUGAUAACUUCUCGAAUCGCAUGGCCUUGUGCCGGCGAUGGUUCAUUCAAAUUUCUUCCCUAUCAACUUUCGAUGUUUGGGUAUUGGCCAAACAUGGUUGCAACGGGUAACGGAGGGUUAGGGCUCGACCCCGGAGAAGGAGCCUGAGAAACGGCUACUACAUCCAAGGAAGGCAGCAGGCGCGCAAAUUACCCAAUCCCGACACGGGGAGGUAGUGACAAUAAAUACUGAUACAGGGCUCUUUUGGGUCUUGUAAUUGGAAUGAGUACAAUUUAAACCCCUUAACGAGGAACAAUUGGAGGGCAAGUCUGGUGCCAGCAGCCGCGGUAAUUCCAGCUCCAAUAGCGUAUAUUAAAGUUGUUGUGGUUAAAAAGCUCGUAGUUGAACCUUGGGCCUGGCUGGCCGGUCCGCCUCACCGCGUGUACUGGUCCGGCCGGGCCUUUCCCUCUGUGGAACCUCAUGCCCUUCACUGGGUGUGGCGGGGAAACAGGACUUUUACUUUGAAAAAAUUAGAGUGCUCCAGGCAGGCCUAUGCUCGAAUACAUUAGCAUGGAAUAAUAGAAUAGGACGUGUGGUUCUAUUUUGUUGGUUUCUAGGACCGCCGUAAUGAUUAAUAGGGACAGUCGGGGGCAUCAGUAUUCAAUUGUCAGAGGUGAAAUUCUUGGAUUUAUUGAAGACUAACUACUGCGAAAGCAUUUGCCAAGGAUGUUUUCAUUAAUCAGGAACGAAAGUUAGGGGAUCGAAGACGAUCAGAUACCGUCGUAGUCUUAACCAUAAACUAUGCCGACUAGGGAUCGGACGAUGUUAUUUUUUGACUCGUUCGGCACCUUACGAGAAAUCAAAGU